rnacentral:rRNA from 1 species
UACGUAGGGUGCAAGCGUUAUCCGGAAUCACUGGGCGUAAAGCGUGCGUAGGUGGCGCGUUAAGUGAGAUGUUAAAUCGUGUGGCUCAACCAUAUCGAUGCAUCUCAUACUGGCGUGCUAGAGGACAGCAGAGGCAAGUGGAAUUGGUAGUGUAGCAGUGAAAUGCGUAGAUAUUACCAGGAACACCAAUGGCGAAGGCAGCUUGCUGGGCUACUCCUGACACUGAGGUACGAAAGCGUGGGGAGCGAACAGG